rnacentral:rRNA from 1 species
GUGCCAGCCGCCGCGGUAAUACGUAGGGGGCGAGCGUUAUCCGGAAUCAUUGGGCGUAAAGGGUGUGUAGGCGGUUUGUUAAGCGAGAGGUGAAAGGCUAUGGCUCAACCAUAGUAAGCCUUUCGAACUGGCAAACUUGAGUGCAGGAGAGGAGAGCGGAAUUCCUAGUGUAGCGGUGAAAUGCGUAGAUAUUAGGAGGAACACCAGUGGCGAAGGCGGCUCUCUGGACUGCAACUGACGCUGAGGCACGAAAGCGUGGGGAGCAAACAGGAUUAGAUACCCGCGUAGUCCGG